rnacentral:lncRNA from 1 species
CUCUCUACUUACAGGUAAAUUGUCUUGUGAUUAUUUCCACAGAACUCUGACUUGGAUAAGAUGCACAAUAUUUCAUUAUGUGGAUGCACUACAGUUAACCAGACUCCUAUUGUUGGACAAAUUGGGCUGCAUGGAGAUUGUAGCAUGAAUGCAGAUAUUGGAAAUUUACUGGAUGUAUGAUCAGACAAACCAAUUGAAGUGGAGAAGAGAACCAAUCAGCCAAAUCAUUACAGAAGUUGCACCACUGCCUGAAAUAUCUUGACUGAUUCUAUAUAAGUUGAAUUUUUGCCGAAUAAAUUCUGAAAAUAAUUACAAGCUUCCUUUUGAUUUGAAUGUUACACAUCAAGUUCUAGUAAGAGCUAAUUUUACAUCAUUGACAGAUAACAAAAUAGAAGGAACAAAGUGCCCUUUGAGUUAAGGGCACUCCAAUGUCCCGGAAUUUAACCUUUUUGUCAGAUCAAUAAGGUUUAGUGCAACUAGCCAGACACCUGUCC